rnacentral:rRNA from 1 species
UGGUGGAGUGAUUUGUCUGGUUAAUUCCGUUAACGAACGAGACCUUGACCUGCUAAUUAGUUUCACAUUGCUCCUGUUGUGUGGAAAACUUCUUAGAGGAACUUUGUGUGCCCAACAUGAGGAAGUUUGAGGCAAUAACA